CUGUGUAUACAUAUCUCUUCCUACUGUAUUUUCCACUGCAUGCAUCGGAUGAAGUGGGUUUUAGCUCACGAAAGCUUAUGCUCAAAUAAAUUUGUUAGUCUCUAAGGUGCCACAGAGACUCCUCAUUCUUUAUACCACUUAAGUUAGCAAUACAUCUGAUACAAUUUCUAGUUUUUAAAAAAAAUGCUAACCCUUUUUUCCCAACAAGACGAAGAUAAAGCAGUUAAAACUUUAAAAACCGCACAGCAGCAUGAAGACUGGAAAUGGGACUGUAUGUCACAUCAAUUUAUUGAUGAAUAUUCAUUACAAUAUUCUAAGUGGUUAACUCCAUGUUUUUUCCUGACAGGGGAUCUAAGGUUAUAAACUAAGCAGUAAAGAGUGCAUAAAAGUAGCAGUUACUUUUAAAGUGACAAAUCUCUUGUCGAUGAAUGCUAAAACCAGAUUUAAUGAACCACUGAAUUUUUACUUUGAGUUAACAUCAAAAUUGUGAUGUAUUUUGGUGAGAUGGAAAGAAAAGCAGUGCUGUAAAUUAGUCUGCACCUAGCAAUAACACUAUAGAGUGAAGUUCCAGUUGUCUGAGUAAUCUGUUGCUGCAGAGUAGGUUAAUCAAAGUUAAAUCAUCUGUGAAAUGGGUGGCUUUUGUUAAGCUGAAGUUUUCCAUCUGUAUUUCAUUGUAUAUUUAUGGCAUGUACUGAGAACUACAGGCAUAUAUAAAACUAAACUAUUUCUUAAAGAGUACUGUUGGAAUAUAUAAAUACUGGGAGUGUUAUUAGUAUUGCUGUAGCACUCAGAGGCCUUAUGUGCUGAAUUGUUAAAUAUAGUUAAAACCUGAGUUAAAAUAAUCAAAGUCUUAACCAAAUAAUAUUUUCAUCAUACAAGUUUUUAUGCAUUUUUUAAAACCAAUAAUUAAGCAGUUAGAAGUCGCCAAUAACAAAUUACAAAUCCUCAGUGUGGAGCUAAUGCAGCAAUAUUGUCUUUAGUUAACUGAAAUAAUUAGAUACGAGUUGCCCAAAUGCAUUUUACUGUACAGAGACUGCAAAUACAGUAAUUCUAUAAUCUACAAGAGUAAGGAAUACAAUAAUCGUAAAUUAAGAGGUUCCCAGUUUUAAAGUAUAUUACAUGUCAAAAGUGUCCCAUCUAUGCAAUAAGAUAUUGAAAUAAGUCAAGUCCAUCUGGUUCUGAGGAAAUACAUUACUAAAUAGCAUCCCAAGCAGAAACUGAGUGUAAUUCUACAUGAACUUUCACCUUUAUACAGAUCUUCUGUUGAUUUUCAUGUUUAUAAUACUUACAUGUUCACAUAUGCCUUUUUCUCUUUUUGUGUCUUUCUCCCCAGACUCCUGUAUAUUAUACUUAUUAGUACCACUGAAGAUGACAGCUUCAGGCUUUCAUGCAAUAUUUUAUUCUGCUGCCUAUCAGCAAUUCACUCAUAGGAAGUCACACUGAAUUCCCUAACGACAAACAUGAACUGCAAAACUUUCAGGGAGUGUGCCAACCUGGACACUUCCCCCAAUUACUUUCCAAAUGUAGGAUUUAUCUUGACCUACCUCAAAGCUGGAUUAGUUUUUGACCACCACAGGAAGGCCACUCUAGCACCAAGGACCCAGACUGAGCAAAUUCAAGAGCAUUAAGGCCCUCCAUUGAGAAUGUCUGGCUGCCUAUCCCCAAUGGUAAUUUAUUAUUUGUAUUACCGUAGCACCAAGGACUCCUACCAUGGAUCAGGACCCCGCUGUGUUAGGUGCUAUGUUUGCUUCCAUCUGUAACCAUGGAUAUCUGGUUUUUGCUCACUUUUUCUAGACCGUAUUCUUUACAUAGAGACUAGGAGUACUUUGUGGACACACAAGAUCUUCAAAUGACAAGAAGAUUCUUUAAGGAAAAGUUAUUCUAUCACUGAAAAAUUCUGAGAUGCCAGCCAGGUAUGAUCACACCAAAACAGUGAAUUACAUGAUGCCAGGAGAGCGGAGGAGAGUUUGAAACACUGACGGCAGACACCAUGACCAACACAAUGCAUGUAGAAUGUGAAUGCACAGCUAUAUGGUUCUUGCUACUGCAAGCUCUCAGAGGCAGAAUUGAGAAGACCUCAUAAAUAAAGAACAGUUAAAGUGGAAAUCAGCAUUUUCAUGAACUGGUGAGUUUCUGAAGAACAAUGUGAUUCCUUUGAUGUCUACUGAUGUACCCUUGCAUGGGUGCUUGACAAACAAGCAUUCAGCUUUCACUUUUGCCAGUGCUCCAAGUAGAAGCCACCAUGCAUAAACGGAAAAGAAAACUACAGAAAAGCCUUUGAACUGCCCUGAAUUUUUAUUCUGAAUGUUCCUGAGAAACAUAGGGAAUUGGAAAGAGAGGCAGAAGAGCUGCAAUAAA